rnacentral:rRNA from 1 species
AUUGAACGCUGGCGGCCGGCCUAACACAUGCAAGUCGAGCGAGCGGCGGACGGGUGAGUAAUGUCUGGGAAACUGCCUGAUGGAGGGGGCUAACUACUGGAAACGGUAGCUAAUACCGCAUACCAUCAGAUGUGCCCAGAUUGGAUUAGCUAGUAGGUGGGGUAAUGGCUCACCUAGGCGACGAUCCCUAGCUGGGCCGAGAGGAUGACCCCCCCCCCUGGAACUGAGACACGGGCCAGCGUCCUCCUUGCUUCCUCCUGUUCCCUUGUGGCGCUGUGGGCGCAAGCCUGAUUCGGCCAUGCCGCGUGUGUGAAGGCGCCCGUCGGGUUGUCACGCACUGUCAGCGAGGAGGCGUUACUCGCAGAAGAAGCACCGGCUAACUCCGUGCCAGCAGCCGCGGUAAUAC